rnacentral:tmRNA from 1 species
GGGGGUGAACUGGUUUCGACAGGGAUAAAGAGGAUUGCUGAUGCAUGCCGAGGAGAUUACCUACUCGUAAAUCAUGGUGAUAAACAAAAUUAAACGCAAACGAUAACUUUGCAUUAGCAGCUUAGUUCUGCUACGGUCCUGCUAAACUUUACUGAGAGGUUAGCAUAAGACUGCCAUAAAAUUCAGUUAUAAGCGGCAGGAAGCCUGGAUUGCCGCUCGAAACUUACAGGCUGGUCAUUUGAAGCGGUUUGCCUGAUUUUCCUUUCGAAUGAUGAGAUUAAAAUCAGCUAAGCAUGUAGAUUCGGCUUUUGGCUUAUCUUUGGACGCGGGUUCGAUUCCCGCCACCUCCACCA